rnacentral:rRNA from 1 species
UGGGGAAUAUUGCACAAUGGAGGGAACUCUGAUGCAGCGACGCCGCGUGAACGAAGAAGGCUUUCGAGUCGUAAAGUUCUUUUAUAUGGGAAGAUAAUGACGGUACCAUAAGAAAAAGCCCCGGCUAACUACGUGCCAGCAGCCGCGGUAAUACGUAGGGGGCUAGCGUUGUACGGAAUCACUGGGCGUAAAGGGUUCGCAGGCGGAAAUGCAAGUCAGGUGUAAAAGGCAGUAGCUUAACUACUGUAAGCAUUUGAAACUGCAUAUCUUGAGAAGAGUAGAGGUAAGUGGAAUUUUUAGUGUAGCGGUGAAAUGAGUAGAUAUUAAAAAGAAUACCAGUGGCGAAGGCGACUUACUGGGCUCAUUCUGACGCUGAGGAACGAAAGCGUGGGUAGCAAACAGG